rnacentral:rRNA from 1 species
CAGCCGCCGCGGUAAUACGUAGGUCCCGAGCGUUGUCCGGAUUUAUUGGGCGUAAAGGGAGCGCAGGCGGUUUAGUAAGUCUGAAGUUAAAGGCAUUGGCUCAACCAAUGUAUGCUUUGGAAACUGUUAGACUUGAGUGCAGAAGGGGAGAGUGGAAUUCCAUGUGUAGCGGUGAAAUGCGUAGAUAUAUGGAGGAACACCGGUGGCGAAAGCGGCUCUCUGGUCUGUCACUGACGCUGAGGCUCGAAAGCGUGGGUAGCGAACAGGAUUAGAUACCCCCGUAGUCCAUGUCUCUUAUACA